rnacentral:rRNA from 1 species
AUGAACGCUGGCGGCGUGCCUAAUACAUGCAAGUCGAGCGAACAGACGAGGAGCUUGCUCCUCUGACGUUAGCGGCGGCCGGGUGAGUAACACGUGGAUAACCUACCUAUAAGACUGGGAUAACUUCGGGAAACCGGAGCUAAUACCGGAUAAUAUAUUGAACCGCAUGGUUCAAUAGUGAAAGACGGUUUUGCUGUCACUUAUAGAUGGAUCCGCGCCGCAUUAGCUAGUUGGUAAGGUAACGGCUUACCAAGGCAACGAUGCGUAGCCGACCCGAGAGGGUGAUCGGCCACACUGGAACUGAGACACGGUCCAGACUCCUACGGGAGGCAGCAGUAGGGAAUCUUCCGCAAUGGGCGAAAGCCUGACGGAGCAACGCCGCGUGAGUGAUGAAGGUCUUCGGAUCGUAAAACUCUGUUAUUAGGGAAGAACAAAUGUGUAAGUAACUAUGCACGUCUUGACGGUACCUAAUCAGAAAGCCACGGCUAACUACGUG